GGAGUCUGCAACCCGACUCCAUGAAGCUGGAUUCGCUAGUAAUCGCGCAUCAGCCACGGCGCGGUGAAUACGUUCCCGGGCCUUGUACACACCGCCCGUCAAGCCAUGGAAGCCGGGAGUGCCUGAAGUGCGUGACCGCAAGGAGCGUCCCAAGGCAAUACCGGUGACUGGGGCUAAGUCGUAACAAGGUACC
rnacentral:rRNA from 1 species